GAUGAACGCUGGCGGCGUGCCUAAUACAUGCAAGUCGAGCGAACGGACGAGAAGCUUGCUUCUCUGAUGUUAGCGGCGGACGGGUGAUUAACCCGUGCAUAACCUACCUUUAAGACUGGCAUAACUUCGGGAAACCGGAUCUAAUACCGGUUCUUAUUUUGAACCCCAUGGUUCAAAAGUGAAAGACGGUUUUGCUUGCACUUAUACAUGUAACCGCGCUGCAUUAGCUAGUUGGUAAGGUAACGGCUUACCAAGGCAACGAUGCAUAGCCGACCUGAGAGGGUGAUCGGCCACACUGGAACUGAGACACGGUCCAGACUCCUACGGGAGGCAGCAGUAGGGAAUCUUCCGCAAUGGGCGAAAGCCUGACGGAGCAACGCCGCGUGAGUGAUGAAGGUCUUCGGAUCGUAAAACUCUGUUAUUAGGGAAGAACAUAUGUGUAAGUAACUGUGCACAUCUUGACGGUACCUAAUCAGAAAGCCACGGCUAACUACGUG
rnacentral:rRNA from 1 species